rnacentral:rRNA from 1 species
AUUAUUUUGGUUUUUGUAUAUUUGUGAUGUAAUUUUUUUGACUAUAGAUUAUUUGUACCGUUAGGGGUUGAUUUAAAUAUAUUUAAGGAAGUUGAUUUUUUUUGUCGUACCUUGUGUAUCAGGGUUCAUUGAAUUGUAUCAUUUAUUUUUAUUUCCCGAUUUUAAAGGAGUUAAUGAUUUAUGUUAGUUACUGUUUCAAUAGUAUUGUUAAUGGGUUGUUGGUAGUGAAAUGUUAUUCGUCUUUAGUGGUCUCUGGUUUUUCAAGAAAUGAAUUUAAUUCAUACAUCUUAUUUAAUUUCUGUUGUUUGUUUAUUUGUUUUUAUUUGAUGUUAAGAUUAAGGGGGAUUAGCUUCUUAUUUUAUUUUUAUAAUGUUGUUGUUUAGUUUAGUUUUGUGGGUUUUAUAGUGAUUUUCUCUUUGAUUAUGUUAAAAUUUUAUUUGUCUUUUUGUUUAUUUAUGGUUAUUUAAGUUAUUUAUUGAAAUGUUUUCUUUACUUUUGGUUUGUUUAGUAAUUAUUGUGUAAUUAGUAAAUUUGUGCUGUUAUUUUGUUUUACUUAGUGAUUGUUAAUUUCUUUCUAGGAAUUAGGCAAAUAUUUUAUGUCCGCCUGUUUAACAAAAACAUCUUUUCUCGUUAGUUUUUGAAGUAUGGCCUGCCCACUGAUUCUGUUGGAUUGAAGGGCCGCGGUAUUUUGACCGUGCAAAGGUAGCAUAAUCAUUAGUUCUUUAAUUGUGAUCUGGUAUGAAUGGCUUGACGAGACGUAGGCUGUCUUGAAGGUAUUGUUUGUUGAAUUUGGUUUUUGAGUUAAAAUUCUUAAAUGUGUUUGUGGGACGAGAAGACCCUAUAGAGUUUUACGAUUUUCUUAUUUAUGUAUUGUGUUUGUGAUAUAUGAUUGGGGGAUGGGUUUAUUGUUUUGUUGGGGUGAUGGGAGGAAUUUUUUUAACUCCUCUUUAUUUUUGUAUAUUUAUUUAUAUUGUAUUGAUCCAUUUAUUUUGAUUAUAAGAUUAAAUUACCUUAGGGAUAACAGCGUUAUUUCCCUUGAGAGUUCUUAUUGGCGGGGAAGUUUGCGACCUCGAUGUUGGAUUAAGGUGUAUUUUCGGUGUAGGAGCUGAAAGUGAUUGGGUCUGUUCGACCUUUAAAAUCUUACAUGAUCUGAGUUCAGACCGGCGUGAGCCAGGUUGGUUUCUAUCUACAAUGGGUUUUUAUAUCUUAGUACGAGAGGACCGGAUAUUAGGAAUAAUUUUGGGAUGUGGGUUGAUUUUCAUUAAUCUGUUUGU